UACGAAGGGGGCUAGCGUUGUUCGGAAUCACUGGGCGUAAAGCGCACGUAGGCGGCUUUUUAAGUCAGGGGUGAAAUCCUGGAGCUCAACUCCAGAACUGCCUUUGAUACUGAGAGCUUGAGUCCGGGAGAGGUGAGUGGAACUGCGAGUGUAGAGGUGAAAUUCGUAGAUAUUCGCAAGAACACCAGUGGCGAAGGCGGCUCACUGGCCCGGUACUGACGCUGAGGUGCGAAAGCGUGGGGAGCAAACAGG
rnacentral:rRNA from 1 species